UACCAGCACCCCGAGUGGUCGGGACGUUUAUUGGGCCUAAAGCUUCCGUAGCCGGUUCUCCAAGUCUUCCGUUAAAUCCAACUGCUUAACAGGUGGGCUGCGGAAGAUACUAUAGAGCUAGGAGGCGGGAGAGGCAAGCGGUACUCGAUGGGUAGGGGUAAAAUCCGUUGAUCCAUUGAAGACCACCAGUGGCGAAGGCGGCUUGCCAGAACGCGCUCGACGGUGAGGGAUGAAAGCUGGGGGAGCAAACCGG
rnacentral:rRNA from 1 species